GGCAAAGCUAUCGCAUAAUAAUAAUACCGGUCCAUAGCCUCACUUUUAAUGUGAGUUUAUUAGAUUCAUUAAAGCACAUGGUCUCUGUUGAGGACGAUUAGUUUUCGCGCUUCUCGAACUUUCGCGAUCGGAAUGCUGACACGAGGUCGGCACGAGGCGGGCCGGGAUAGACCAAACCACCCCUCUCUUAUCACCUGUGCUCCUGCUCCGAAUUCUGUCGCAGAUAUCAGCUACCGGCGUGCGAGUGUGUAUCGUCUUCAGAAUAAAUGCGACUUUCAUACAUAACGGUCUGAUUUCUCUGUGCUACCCUAUCUCUCGCAACCGUGCGUUCCCAGAUUAUCGCAACAGUCUCGAUUGUGGAUAAAAACUCAGCUGAAUCUCACUUGCCAUCAUGCAAAAGGAACGUGCAUUUAACUGAGUUAUGACGUCACAAGUGAGAAUUAUCUGAGUUUUGAUCUAGGAUAUGUUCGAAGCAUUUUGCUGAUGAAGCUUUUACGAAGCCCUUACAAGAACAUCUACUAGGUUAUUCACCUACACGAACUAGGAAGAUACAUCCUGAUGCUAUCCCGACGUUGCAUCUCCAUGCAGUACCUCCACUAACAUCAAACGAAAAUGUGUUAGCUGAAACAAUGCCUUUGCCUGUAUCAAAUGAAGUUUCGAUUAAAUAUUUGCAUUUAUUGUUAUUUGAUCUUUUAUCUGCAUCUUUCCUCUGCAUAUAUAGUUCUUUAUGUCGUACGCCACAAUAUAUUUUUGUUUUGCGUCUCA